rnacentral:rRNA from 1 species
UACGGAGGAUGCAAGCGUUAUCCGGAUUUAUUGGGUUUAAAGGGUGCGUAGGCGGAUAUGUAAGUCAGCGGUGAAACUCAUAGGCUCAACCUGUACCGUGCCGUUGAAACUGUGUAUCUGGAAUGCGGAUGCUGUGGGAGGAAUGUGUAGUGUAGCGGUGAAAUGCAUAGAUAUUACACAGAACACCGAUUGCGAAGGCAUCUCACAAAGCCGUUAUUGACGCUGAGGCACGAAAGUGUGGGGAUCAAACA